CUCAUUUUAAUUUAAUUAAAAAUAUUGAUUUGCAAAAUCAAAAAUACUUAGAUGAGU
rnacentral:tRNA from 1 species